CCUACGGGAGGCAGCAGUGGGGAAUUUUCCGCAAUGGGCGAAAGCCUGACGGAGCAACGCCGCGUGAGGGAUGAAGGCCUCUGGGCUGUAAACCUCUUUUCUCAAGGAAGAAGAUCUGACGGUACUUGAGGAAUAAGCCACGGCUAAUUCCGUGCCAGCAGCCGCGGUAAUACGGGAGUGGCAAGCGUUAUCCGGAAUUAUUGGGCGUAAAGCGUCCGCAGGCGGCCCUUCAAGUCUGCUGUUAAAACGUGGAGCUUAACUCCAUCAUGGCAGUGGAAACUGUUGGGCUUGAGUGUGGUAGGGGCUGAGGGAAUUCCCGGUGUAGCGGUGAAAUGCGUAGAUAUCGGGAAGAACACCAGUGGCGAAGGCGCUCUGCUGGGCCAUAACUGACGCUCAUGGACGAAAGCCAGGGGAGCGAAAGGGAUUAGAUACCCCUGUAGUCCUGGCCGUAAACGAUGAACACUAGGUGUCGGGGGAAUCGACCCCCUCGGUGUCGUAGCCAACGCGUUAAGUGUUCCGCCUGGGGAGUACGCACGCAAGUGUGAAACUCAAAGGAAUUGACGG
rnacentral:rRNA from 1 species